AUUGAACGCUGGCGGCAGGCCUAACACAUGCAAGUCGAGCGGAUGAAGGGAGCUUGCUCCUGGAUUCAGCGGCGGACGGGUGAGUAAUGCCUAGGAAUCUGCCUGGUAGUGGGGGAUAACGUCCGGAAACGGGCGCUAAUACCGCAUACGUCCUGAGGGAGAAAGUGGGGGAUCUUCGGACCUCACGCUAUCAGAUGAGCCUAGGUCGGAUUAGCUAGUUGGUGGGGUAAAGACCUACCAAGGCGACGAUCCGUAACUGGUCUGAGAGGAUGAUCAGUCACACUGGAACUGAGACACGGUCCAGACUCCUACGGGAGGCAGCAGUGGGGAAUAUUGGACAAUGGGCGAAAGCCUGAUCCAGCCAUGCCGCGUGUGUGAAGAAGGUCUUCGGAUUGUAAGGCACUUUAAGUUGGGAGGAAGGGCAGUAAGUUAAUACCUUGCUGUUUUGACGUUACCAACAGAAUAAGCACCGGCUAACUUCGUG
rnacentral:rRNA from 1 species